rnacentral:rRNA from 1 species
AUUGAACGCUGGCGGCAUGCUUUACACAUGCAAGUCGAACGGUAGAGGGGGCAACCCCUUGAGAGUGGCGAACGGGUGAGUAAUGCAUCGGAACGUGCCCAGUCAUGGGGGAUAACGCAGCGAAAGCUGUGCUAAUACCGCAUACGAUCUCUGGAUGAAAGCGGGGGACCGAAAGGCCUCGCGCGAUUGGAGCGGCCGAUGUCAGAUUAGGUAGUUGGUGGGGUAAAGGCCUACCAAGCCAACGAUCUGUAGCUGGUCUGAGAGGACGACCAGCCACACUGGGACUGAGACACGGCCCAGACUCCUACGGGAGGCAGCAGUGGGGAAUUUUGGACAAUGGGCGCAAGCCUGAUUCAGCAAUGCCGCGUGCAGGAAGAAGGCCUUCGGGUUGUAAACUGCUUUUGUACGGAACGAAACGGUCUGGGUUAAUACCCUGGGCUAAUGACGGUACCGUAAGAAUAAGCACCGGCUAACUACGUGCCAGCCGCCGCAGUAA